rnacentral:rRNA from 1 species
AACGAACGCUGGCGGCAGGCCUAACACAUGCAGGUCGAGCGAGGACUUCGGUUCUAGCGGCGGACGGGUGAGUAACGCGUGGGAAUGUGCCCUUCUCUACGGAAUAGCCCUGGGAAACUGGGAGUAAUACCGUAUACGCCCUCUUGGGGAAAGAUUUAUCGGAGAAGGAUCAGCCCGCGUUGGAUUAGGUAGUUGGUGGGGUAAUGGCCUACCAAGCCGACGAUCCAUAGCUGGUUUGAGAGGAUGAUCAGCCACACUGGGACUGAGACACGGCCCAGACUCCUACGGGAGGCAGCAGUGGGGAAUCGUAGACAAGGGGGGCAACCCUGAUCUAGCCAGGCCGCGUGAGUGAUGAAGGCCUUAGGGUUGUAAAGCUCUUUCAGCUGGGAAGAUAAUGACGGUACCAGCAGAAGAAGCCCCGGCUAACUCCGU